AAGUGCGAAUGCUGACAUAAGUAACGAUAAAACGAGUGAAAAACUCGUUCGCCGGAAGACCAAGGGUUCCUGUCCAACGUUAAUCGGGGCAGGGUGAGUCGGCCCCUAAGGCGAGGCUGAAAAGCGUAGUCGAUGGGAAACGGGUUAAUAUUCCCGUACUUGGUAAAGCUGCGAUGUGGGGACGGAGAAGGUUAGGUUAGCAGACUGUUGGAUGUCUGUUUAAGUUGGUAGGUGGGGAGUUUAGGCAAAUCCGGACUUCCAUAACACUGAGAGAUGAUGACGAGUUUCUACGGAAAUGAAGUAACUGAUACCACGCUUCCAGGAAAAGCCACUAAGCGAAAGGCUUUACUAAACCGUACUGAAAACCGACACAGGUGGUCAGGUAGAGAAUACUCAGGCGCUUGAGAGAACUCGGGUGAAGGAACUAGGCAAAAUAGCACCGUAACUUCGGGAGAAGGUGCGCUGGCGUAGGUUGUAGGAGUAUACCUCCGAAGGCUGAACCAGUCGAAGAUACCAGCUGGCUGCAACUGUUUAUUAAAAACACAGCACUCUGCAAACACGAAAGUGGACGUAUAGGGUGUGAUGCCUGCCCGGUGCUGGAAGGUUAAUUGAUGGUGUAAUCGAAAGAGAAGCUCCUGAUCGAAGCCCCAGUAAACGGCGGCCGUAACUAUAACGGUCCUAAGGUAGCGAAAUUCCUUGUCGGGUAAGUUCCGACCUGCACGAAUGGCAUAAUGAUGGCCAGGCUGUCUCCACCCGAGACUCAGUGAAAUUGAAAUCGCCGUGAAGAUGCGGUGUACCCGCGGCUAGACGGAAAGACCCCGUGAACCUUUACUAUAGCUUGACACUGAACAUUGAAUUUUGAUGUGUAGGAUAGGUGGGAGCCUAAGAAGCAGUCACGCCAGUGAUUGUGGAGGCGUCCUUGAAAUACCACCCUUUAACGUUUGAUGUUCUAACGAAGAUUGCGAAACGCGGUCUCGGACAGUGUCUGGUGGGUAGUUUGACUGGGGCGGUCUCCUCCCAAAGAGUAACGGAGGAGCACGAAGGUUUGCUAAUCACGGUCGGACAUCGUGAGGUUAGUGCAAUGGUAUAAGCAAGCUUAACUGCGAGACAGACAAGUCGAGCAGGUGCGAAAGCAGGUCAUAGUGAUCCGGUGGUUCUGAAUGGAAGGGCCAUCGCUCAACGGAUAAAAGGUACUCCGGGGAUAACAGGCUGAUACCGCCCAAGAGUUCAUAUCGACGGCGGUGUUUGGCACCUCGAUGUCGGCUCAUCACAUCCUGGGGCUGAAGUAGGUCCCAAGGGUAUGGCUGUUCGCCAUUUAAAGUGGUACGCGAGCUGGGUUUAGAACGUCGUGAGACAGUUCGGUCCCUAUCUGCCGUGGGCGUUGGAGAAUUGAGAGGGGCUGCUCCUAGUACGAGAGGACCGGAGUGGACGCAUCACUGGUGUACCAGUUGUCUCGCCAGAGGCACUGCUGGGUAGCUAAAUGCGGAAGAGAUAAGUGCUGAAAGCAUCUAAGCACGAAACUCGCCUUAAGAUGAGUUCUCCCACACAAUAAGUGUGUAAGGGUUGUUGGAGAC
rnacentral:rRNA from 1 species